rnacentral:rRNA from 1 species
AAAAACAAGUAUUUGCGGGCUUUGCCUGCUAUCUCUUACCCAUGUCUUUUGAGUACUUACGUUUCCUCGGCGGGUCCGCCCGCCGAUUGGACAAUUUAAACCCUUUGCAGUUGCAAUCAGCGUCUGAAAAACAUAAUAGUUACAACUUUCAACAACGGAUCUCUUGGUUCUGGCAUCGAUGAAGAACGCAGCGAAAUGCGAUAAGUAGUGUGAAUUGCAGAAUUCAGUGAAUCAUCGAAUCUUUGAACGCACAUUGCGCCCCUUGGUAUUCCAUGGGGCAUGCCUGUUCGAGCGUCAUUUGUACCUUCAAGCUUUGCUUGGUGUUGGGUGUUUGUCUCGCCUUUGCGUGUAGACUCGCCUUAAAAGAAUUGGCAGCCGGCGUAUUGAUUUCGGAGCGCAGUACAUCUCGCGCUUUGCACUCAUAACGACGACGUCCAAAAGUACAUUUUUACACUCUUGACCUCGGAUCAGGUAGGGAUACCCGCUGAACUUAAGCAUAUCAAU